CGCGCGCAUAGCCAAUCAAAACUCUCCUUGCCGCUGACGUCAGCCCGACGCCACUCGCUCUUCAUUUGAAUCUGGUAAAAGUACCAAUUUCAAGUGGCCGUUGAAAAACAACACAGCACGGUCGCCACGGUCGGUUAUCUCUCAAAUGUUGUUGUUUUCUUGCAUUUGUGGGGUUUUUUGGGAAUGUAAACUUUUAAUUAAUGUGCAGUGCUACUAAUUGUGUUUGAAACGCCGCCGAUAUGUGAAGAUUUAUGCCAACGGCAAGCCCCGGCCGGGAGCGAAACUCAGCGAAAGCCCGGAGUUUGACUGUUGACGAUGAAUUUUGUGCCAGCCGGGGCUAAAAUUCAGCGCAAAAAAAGUUUGAAACGUCGCCGAUGUGAAGAUUUCUGCCAACACAGGAAGCCCCGCGAGCUUAACUCGGCGAAAGCCCCGAGUUUUGACCGUGUUGACGGUUGACGACGCGCAGUUCCGCAGUUGGGCCGCGGCCGCGCGGGGCCGAAAUUCAGCGAAAAUUCUUUGUCAAAUUAAGAUUUUAGAUGGACGUUAAAAACGGCAAACGAGGAAACGACGCAGGCCAAUCUUCGGUCACCUUGGCGCAUUUCAAGUGAAGAGGGGAGUCCGAUCUCCAAAUUUUGAAGUUUUUUGAUGGACGUUAAAACGGCAAACGAGGAAACGACGCAGGCCAAUCUUCGGACACCUUGGCGCAUUUCAAGUGAAGAGGGGAGUCCGAUCUCCAAAUUUUGAAGAUCCUGUUUUCGGAAACCUGGUCAGUUGCUUCCUGGAAAAGAGCCACCUGGUGGCUCCCUGUUCUUGAAGAAAAGAUAGAGAACACAAGGCGCACCCGUUUCAUCAACAAGGUCGGCUUCUCUAAAUUUUAAAAAGACUACAAAGAAAAUUAAAUUAAAAUUUCUUUUCAUCAAAAUGUGAUAAAAAGUAUAUUUUUUAUGAUAGUUGAUGGUGGAUAAAUCUAUAAUUGUGAAUAUUUGAGUAAAAUUGUGUCAAAAUUUCUUCUGGGAGAAUUUUUAUGUUCAAAAUUUAAUUUUUUUAUUUAAAUGUUAUGUUCAAAAUAUGUUAGUUUUUAAAUUUUAUGUUCAAAAUUUAAAUUUUGUUCAAAUUUUAAUUUUGUAUAUAAAUUUUAUGUUCAAAAUUUUGAUGUGGCUUAUAAAUUUAUGCACAUAGGCACAUGAUUAUAUUAUCACUGGAAAAAUAUUAUUUAAAAUGCAUUUAUGACCAUUUUCUUAAUUAACGACUGCAAACAGGUUGAAAUUUUACAAUGCAAUUCUGUAAUUAUUGUAUGUUGGGGUUAUAUAUUAUAUUUUGAUCUAAAUGAUGAAGUUUAUUGUUGAAUUAUGUAUAUUGUAUUUUUA